AUUGAACGCUGGCGGCAGGCUUAACACAUGCAAGUCGAGCGGAGAUGAGGUGCUUGCACCUUAUCUUAGCGGCGGACGGGUGAGUAAUGCUUAGGAAUCUGCCUAUUAGUGGGGGACAACAUUCCGAAAGGAAUGCUAAUACCGCAUACGCCCUACGGGGGAAAGCAGGGGCUCUUCGGGCCUUGCGCUAAUAGAUGAGCCUAAGUCGGAUUAGCUAGUUGGUGGGGUAAAGGCCUACCAAGGCGACGAUCUGUAGCGGGUCUGAGAGGAUGAUCCGCCACACUGGGACUGAGACACGGCCCAGACUCCUACGUGAGGCAGCAGUGGGGAAUAUUGGACAAUGGGCGGAAGCCUGAUCCAGCCAUGCCGCGUGUGUGAAGAAGGCCUUUUGGUUGUAAAGCACUUUAAGCGAGGAGGAGGCUACCUGGAUUAAUACUCUAGGAUAGUGGACGUUACUCGCAGAAUAAGCACCGGCUAACUCUGUGCCAGCCGCCGCCGUAAAAC
rnacentral:rRNA from 1 species